rnacentral:rRNA from 1 species
UACAGAGGUCUCAAGCGUUGUUCGGAUUCAUUGGGCGUAAAGGGUGCGUAGGCGGCGCGGUAAGUCGGGUGUGAAAUCUUGGAGCUUAACUCCGAAACUGCAUUCGAUACUGCCGUGCUUGAGGACUGGAGAGGAGACUGGAAUUUACGGUGUAGCGGUGAAAUGCGUAGAUAUCGUAAGGAAGACCAGUGGCGAAGGCGGGUCUCUGGACAGUACCCGACACUGAGGCACGAAGGCCAGGGGAGCAAACGGG